CUCUUCCCUUUUUGGGGGAUCUGAAAAGACAGUUGGAUUGGAGGGGAAGAGAGCCUCUGGAGACAACAGUUGAGAGACUCUUUGCUUGAUUCCUGUCUAAGCAAUAGCCGGGACUCAGUGCCCUCUUCUUCCUCCAAUUGCCAAUCCAAUUCUUAUCUCUAAUCCCUGGAUUUGGGUAAGGUCUCAAGGAACAUAUAUGGCAGGCAAUCUCUUGGAUUUGAAUGAGUCAGGGGGCUGAUUCAGAAGAGAUGGAGUCUGUGGAAAUAUGGUCCCAAAGACCCCACUCCAAUGAGGACCCCAUGUUUUAUGAUAUAAUAUAAUGAAAUAGGGAGCCUUGUCCUCCAUAAUGUUGAAGACCCUAAGAGUAACUGCCCUUGUUAAUGUUAAUUUGGCUUUAAAUACGCCCAACCAUAUGCACUUCACUGUCUUGCUGAUUCUGGAGAGUAUGAGGGGAAGAAGGCCCCUAGAGGAUGGAGAAGAAUUCUUGGCCUUUGAUUUUCUACUGUGCUACGGUGACGUUUAUUUUGGACCUGGAACCAGACUCACCGUUCUAGAUGACCUGGAAAGAGUGACUCCCCCAAAGGUAACUGUGUUUCAGCCAUCUGAGGAAGAGAUUGGGGAGAAAGGAAAGGCCACUCUGGUCUGUCUGGCCACAGGCUUCUACCCUGACCUUGUGGAGCUGAGCUGGUGGGUGAAUGGGCAGGAGACCAAAAUUGGGGUCAGCACAGACCCUGAGCCCUCCAAGGAGCAUCCCAAGGAAGAGCACUCCAGGUACUCCCUGAGCAGCCGCCUCCGGAUUUCUGCUCCCUUCUGGCGCAAUCCCAAGAACAACUUUCGUUGCCAAGUACAGUUCUAUGGCAUUGCAGAGAAUGAGACCUGGUCAAGUAACCGGAGCAAACCUGUCACCCAGAAUGUCAGUGACCAGAUCUGGGGAAAGGCAGAUUGUGGUAUUACCUCUGAGUCCUAUCAACACAGUAUCCAAUCUGCUACCUUCCUUUAUGAGAUCCUGCUGGGAAAGGCCGUGUUGUAUGGCCUGCUGGUCAGUGCCCUGGUGUGGAUAACCAUGGCCAAGAAGAAAAAUUCCUGAUGUCAGCUGUGGAUGUGAGAACAGAGAAGAGAGAACAGAAGGAUUCAGCACCCCAGCUUGGUUUCUACUUUCCCUAUUCUUAUUCUGUGUUCCAAAAGCUAUUAUUCCCAUAUUCUCUAUCCCCAUCUUUCACGGAUCUCUCCGCAGAGGAUACUCCAUUUCCAAGAGAAGUGCUUUGGUUUGAUCUCGAAGAAAUAAUUAAAAAAAAAAUAACCUGGCUUAGCAAUUACCAACUAUGUUUUUAUCUUUUUUCUCAUUGACUUAAUACGGAGUAUGCCUCUAAAUCAGGACAGAGUUCAAGAACGUAUUAGCAGAAGUAUAUUUUACAUGCUAAUACAAUUAUUUUUUUUUAAAUUAUUAGUAUAGUUAAGGGAAAACCCGCUUGGGCAAAUAAAGGAAUUAUCCCAUUAUAACAUUAGGAUUCCCUUUCUUCAAUUUCAAAAACCUGCAGUUGUCAAUUUCCCUUAUUUUUACAUAGGUAUUCCAGGGAUAGAGUUAAGCCGAUGAAUACUAACACAUUGCAAGUAUUUGGGGAAGAAAGCUGAGUAUAGAAGAAUCACAAUAUCCGAGUGAUUAAAGGGAUGUCUGAGAAGAAGGAAAGAAUAGAAAUGAGGUAUGAAGGAAAGAAUAGAACAGAGCUGAAGCCUGUUAUAGUUAAUUAGACGAAUUAAAUGAGAGGUGAGAAAGAAUUAAGAAAACAAGAGGAAAGGAAUGUCCAAAAAAAUUGGAAUAAAUCAGAACUGAGAGAUGGAUUAUAUGCAAGUCUGGGAUUAAUGUGAAGGGUUCAUCUGUUUUGAGUGUCACCUUGGGUAUUGAAUUAUUCUCUUUAUGUUCUGAAAUUUGAAAUUUUUAAGGAGAAAGAUUAGGAUAGGAUAGAUAGAUUUGAUGUUAAUCUGAAUAAAUAUGAUGAAUUAAUCUACCCCCAAAGGAAAUGAAAGUAUAAACUGAGAAAAGAUCCCAAAGGCAGAGCCCAAUCAUUAACCAAAAAAAAAAAUGAAUUUUGAAUAAUAACAUCAACUCUGAGAUUUUAUUCCACACUGAGAAAAUUCACAACAUGAUCAAAGAUGAAAAUAGUCAAUGUUGGAGAAUCUGGAGAAAAGUCAGGCAUAUUAAUAUAAUGUCCAGAUAAAUAUAAUACAAUGUCAAUAAAUUUGUAGUUUUUAUUUUAAAAAGCAACUAAAAUGUCUACAAUGUGUAAUGCAGAGAACCAAUUCCCAGAUCAGAGUCAUAAAUGUCCCAUAUGUGCCAAAAUAUUUGUAACAGCAUUUUCAUAAUACCAAGUAAACUAAAUUAAAUGCCCUUUGGUGGGUAAUAAGGACUUAAUUUGUGAUU